rnacentral:lncRNA from 1 species
UCCGGACUCCUAAGGGAGCCGGACUCCGCCCACGACUCCAACAGUAAGGAAACUCCACCCAGACCCCUAUGGGAGCCGGACUCCACCCCCGGCUGUGACUGAAGGAAGACUCCAUCCGAACUCCUGCUAAAGCCGGAUUCCGAGCUCCUCUCAAAUAGAUGGCUAACUACCUCUCUCCGCCAGACACUCCAGCCAGACUUCAGCCAGUAGACCUUCACCCCCUGGCGCGCCAC